rnacentral:piRNA from 1 species
AUGUAGAAACCUGCAAGCAAAAUG